UGAGGAAUAUUGCGCAAUGGGGGCAACCCUGACGCAGCAACGCCGCGUGAGUGAGGAAGGUUUUCGGACCGUAAAGCUCUGUCGAGCGGGAAGAAAUGUAUCGUGGCUAAUAUCCAUGAUAUUUGACGGUACCGCUAAAGGAAGCACCGGCUAACUCCGUGCCAGCAGCCGCGGUAAUACGGGGGGUGCAAGCGUUGUUCGGACUUAUUGGGCGUAAAGAGCGUGUAGGCGGCUGAAUAAGUCAGAUGUGAAAUCCCUGGGCUUAACCCAGGAAGUGCAUUUGAAACUAUUCAGCUUGAGUAGGGGAGAGGAAAGUGGAAUUCCUGGUGUAGAGGUGAAAUUCGUAGAUAUCAGGAGGAACACCAGUGGCGAAGGCGGUUUCCUGGUCUGAUACUGACGCUGAGGCGCGAAAGUGUGGGGAGCAAACA
rnacentral:rRNA from 1 species